rnacentral:sRNA from 1 species
AUUGCGGAGGCAGAGAUUCGGCGAAGUUCAGAGGAGGUAGGCGACGAGGUUUU